rnacentral:rRNA from 1 species
CCUACGGGAGGCAGCAGUGAGGAAUAUUGGUCAAUGGUCGGGAGACUGAACCAGCCAAGCCGCGUGAGGGAGGAAGGUACAGAGUAUCGUAAACCUCUUUUGUCAGGGAACAAAGACUGGGACGCGUCCCCGGAUGAGUUUACCUGAAGAAAAAGCAUCGGCUAAAUCCGUGCCAGCAGCCGCGGUAAUAGGGAGGAUGCUAGCGUUAUCCGGAUUUAUUGGGUUUAAAGGGUGCGCAGGCGUUCUGUUAAGUCAGCGGUCAAAGCCCGGGGUUCAACCCCGGCCCGCCGUGGAAAAUGGCAGUCGCGAGUUGGAGAGAAGUAUGCGGAAUGCGCGGUGUAGCGGUGAAAUGCAUAGAUAGCGCGCAGAACUCCGAUUGCGAAGGCAGCAUGCCGGCUCCACACGGACGCUGAGGCACGAAAGCGUGGGUAUCGAACAGGAUUAGAUACCCUGGUAGUC